GUCCUCUUGUAUAGAAUUUGAGGUCUAGCCUGCUCACUGAAGUGAAUUGAAGAGCCGCGGUAUUUUGACCGUGCAAAGGUAGCAUAAUCAUUAGUUUCUUAAUUAGGAGCUGGAAUGAAUGGCUUGAUGAGGAAUUAUCUGUCUUUUAUUAAAUUUUUGAAUUUAACUUUUAAGUUAAAAGGCUUAAAUUUUUCUUUAGGACGAGAAGACCCUAUAGAGCUUAACAUCUUACUUUUAUAUAUUUUUUAGUUAAUUUUUUUAUAUAAAAUGUUAAUGUUUGGUUGGGGUGACAUGAAGAAUAAUUAAACUCUUCAUUAUUAAAUCAUUAAUUUAUGUUUAUUUUGAUCCAUAAUUUAUGAUUAUAAGAUUAAGUUACCUUAGGGAUAACAGCGUAAUUGUUUUCAAGAGUUCAUAUCAACAAAGCAGAUUGCGACCUCGAUGUUGGAUUAAGAAAAAUUUUGGGUGCAGUAAUUCAAUAAUUAGGUCUGUUCGACCUUUAAAUUCUU
rnacentral:rRNA from 1 species